AUUGAACGCUGGCGGCAUGCUUUACACAUGCAAGUCGAACGGCAGCACGGACUUCGGUCUGGUGGCGAGUGGCGAACGGGUGAGUAAUACAUCGGAACGUACCCAGUAAUGGGGGAUAACUAUCCGAAAGGAUAGCUAAUACCGCAUACGCCUUACGGGGGAAAGAGGGGGAUCGCAAGACCUCUUGUUAUUGGAGCGGCCGAUGGCUGAUUAACUAGUUGGUGGGGUAAAGGCCUACCAAGGCAACGAUCAGUAGCGGGUCUUAGAGGACGAUCCGCCACACUGGAACUGAGACACGGUCCAGACUCCUACGGGAGGCAGCAGUGGGGAAUCUUGGACAAUGGGCGCAAGCCUGAUCCAGCAAUGCCGCGUGCGUGAAGAAGGCCUUCGGGUUGUAAAGCGCUUUUGUCAGGGAGCAAAUCCUUGUGGCUAAUACCCACCGGGGAUGAGAGUACCUGAAGAAUAAGGACCGGCUAACUACGUGCCAGCAGCCGCCGUAAGAC
rnacentral:rRNA from 1 species